rnacentral:rRNA from 1 species
AACGAACGCUGGCGGCAGGCUUAACACAUGCAAGUCGAGCGCCUCGCAAGGGGAGCGGCAGACGGGUGAGUAACGCGUGGGAACAUGCCCAAAGGUACGGAACAACUCCGGGAAACUGGAGCUAAUACCGUAUGUGACCGAGAGGUGAAAGAUUUAUCGCCUUUGGAUUGGCCCGCGUUGGAUUAGCUAGUUGGUGGGGUAAAGGCCUACCAAGGCGACGAUCCAUAGCUGGUCUGAGAGGAUGAUCAGCCACACUGGGACUGAGACACGGCCCAGACUCCUACGGGAGGCAGCAGUGGGGAAUAUUGGACAAUGGGCGCAAGCCUGAUCCAGCCAUGCCGCGUGUGUGAUGAAGGCCUUAGGGUUGUAAAGCACUUUCGCCAGGGACGAUAAUGACGGUACCUGGAUAAGAAGCCCCGGCUAACUUCGUGCCAGCCGCCGCGGUAAUAC